rnacentral:rRNA from 1 species
UACGGUAGGGUGCAAGCGUUGUCCGGAAUUAUUGGGCGUAAAGAGCUCGUAGGUGGCCUGUCGCGUCGGCUGUGGAAAACUACGGGGGCCUGCAACUCCCAGCGUUGCAGUCGAUACGGGCAGGCUAGAGUUCGGCAGGGGGAGACUUGGAAUUCCUGGUGUAGCGGUGAAAUGCGCAGAUAUCAGGAGGAACACCGGUGGCGAAGGCGGGUCUCUGGGCCGAUACUGACGCUGAGGAGCGAAAGCUGGGGUAGCGAACAGG